AACUGCAUCCCUGUGAAACUCAAAAAUAUGGGUGGCGUGUCACCCGACACCUUCAAGCGCCUCUUGGAUGUAUGGCUGGCCAAUAUUUCAGACCAACUGCCAACAGUUUUUGGUAGAUUUUCAUGUGGUUUGAAUGUGUGUGUGUGUGUGUGUGUGUGUGUGUGUGUGUGUGUUGGGAAGUGAUGGGUAAGGUGUGUAUGUGUGUGUGUGUGUGUGUGUGUGUUGAGAAGGGAUGGAUAAAGUGUGUGUGCGUUUGUGUGAGGGUGUUUUGCUAUUUUUUUUUCUCAUAGUCUCUGGAGAGUGGCAUUUCUGUGUGUGUGUGUGUGUAUAUGUGAGAGAAAAUGUACCAGCAUCACUCCACCACAUCACCACACCCAGGGGCAGUGGAGGAGGUGCAGAGCGUGGCAUGGUUCAUGGACGGCAGCAUCAGCAAGGCGGAGAACUACCAGUGUGUGCUAAUGAUCCAACGAGCUCUGAAGAGCAGGCGACCAACUGUUGUGGCUCUCGGAUACUGAAUGGUCAAGGAGGGUCUGCAAGGUAUCAAUGCCACACGUGGAGAUCUCCAUUACCUGCUACGCCACCCUGAGCACCUGUGAGGUGGCUUCUGAUUUCACACGAUACACCGGCAUUGGUUAAAGGCACCGGGAGACAGUGGGGCAGUCCAUGGAGGCUCUGUAUACCCUGACAUUGAGGUGGUGAGGGGGCAUGUGCUUGCCAGGAACUACUCUCUGCUGAAGGAGAACCAGAGGAAGGUACUGAAGGUGUGGUGCCUCAUCUGGCAGGACUUUCAGGUGUGCUGCAGUGGCAUGUCACUGCUCCUCACCCCCACCACCCUCAACCCCAGCCCACAGGUACUUAGGUAUCUUGACACAGGUACUUAGGUGUCUUAAGUGAG